UACGUAGGGGGCAAGCGUUUGUCCGGAUUUAUUGGGCGUAAAGAGCUCGUAGGCGGUUGGGCAAGUCACGUGUGAAAUCUCCACGCUCAACGUGGAGGCGCCACGUGAGACUGCCCUGACUCGAGUCCGGUAAGGGGAGCGUGGAAUUCCCGGUGUAGCGGUGAAAUGCGCAGAUAUCAGGAGGAACACCGGUGGCGAAGGCGGGUCUCUGGGCCGUAACUGACGCUGAGACGCGAAAGCGUGGGGAGCGAACAGG
rnacentral:rRNA from 1 species